GUGCCAGCCGCCGCGGUAAUACCGGCAGCCCGAGUGAUGGCUGAUCUUAUUGGGCCUAAAGCGUCCGUAGCUAGCCGCACAAGUCCGUCGGGAAAUCCGCCCGCUCAACGGGCGGCCGUCCGGCGGAACCUGUGUGGCUUGGGACCGGAAGGCUCGUAGGGUACGUGCGGGGUAGGAGUGAAAUCCCAUAAUCCCGCACGGACCACCGAUGGCGAAAGCACUUCGAGAAAACGGAUCCGACAGUGAGGGACGAGAGCCAGGGUCUCCAACCGGAUUAGAAACCCCGGUAGUCC
rnacentral:rRNA from 1 species